rnacentral:rRNA from 1 species
UGGGGAAUUUUGGACAAUGGGCGAAAGCCUGAUCCAGCAAUGCCGCGUGUGUGAAGAAGGCCUUCGGGUUGUAAAGCACUUUUGUCCGGAAAGAAAAUCCUUGGCUCUAAUACAGUCGGGGGAUGACGGUACCGGAAGAAUAAGCACCGGCUAACUACGUGCCAGCAGCCGCGGUAAUACGUAGGGUGCAAGCGUUAAUCGGAAUUACUGGGCGUAAAGCGUCGCAGGCGGUUUGCUAAGACCGAUGUGAAAUCCCCGGGCUCAACCUGGGAACUGCAUUGGUGACUGGGCAGGCUAGAGUAUGGCAGAGGGGGGUAGAAUUCCACGUGUAGCAGUGAAAUGCGUAGAGAUGUGGAGGAAUACCGAUGGCGAAGGCAGCCCCCUGGGCCAAUACUGACGCUCAUGCACGAAAAGCGUGGGGGAGCAAAACAGGAUUAGAUACCCUGGUAGUCCACGCCCUAAAACGAUGUCAACUAGUUGUUGGGGAUUCAUUUCCUUAGUAACGUAGCUAACGCG